AGUGAACGCUGGCGGUAGGCCUAACACAUGCAAGUCGAACGGCAGCACAGGAGAGCUUGCUCUCUGGGUGGCGAGUGGCGGACGGGUGAGGAAUACAUCGGAAUCUACCUUUUCGUGGGGGAUAACGUAGGGAAACUUACGCUAAUACCGCAUACGACCUACGGGUGAAAGUGGGGGACCGCAAGGCCUCACGCGAUUAGAUGAGCCGAUGUCCGAUUAGCUAGUUGGCGGGGUAAUGGCCCACCAAGGCGACGAUCGGUAGCUGGUCUGAGAGGAUGAUCAGCCACACUGGAACUGAGACACGGUCCAGACUCCUACGGGAGGCAGCAGCGGGGAAUAUUGGACAAUGGGCGCAAGCCUGAUCCAGCCAUACCGCGUGGGUGAAGAAGGCCUUCGGGUUGUAAAGCCCUUUUGUUGGGAAAGAAAUCCUAUCGGUUAAUAACCGGUGGGGAUGACGGUACCCAAAGAAUAAGCACCGGCUAACUUCGUGCCAGCAGCCGCCGUAAGAC
rnacentral:rRNA from 1 species